UUGUCCAUUAAGGGGGAGAAGGCCUUUGCUGCCCACGACGGACCCUACGGAUUUCGACCUCCAUUAUUCUCAGUUUAGCUUAGAAAGUCUAAAUCGGGUGGAGAAGCUAAAAGAACUGGG